UUGAUUCCAGCUUGGAGGCAUAAAAGUUUUGUCUCUCAGAUUGUAUCUGAAUUGCAAAGCUGUGAUUUUUGGUGUGGGUGGAGGCUUUUAGUUAGAAUUGGAGUGAAGGGGCAGAGUAACAUUUGGAUCUAGGUUUUGAUCAGUGUAUCUGUAGGAACUCCACGCCAACGUUGACGGAAAUUAAUAGGGUCAGCCACUUGCGAAAUCGGAUCUCAACUUCAAUUCUUCCAGAUUCAGGGUGAGCUGCUUAAUUUUUCUUUGUUCGUGUGAUUAUGAGUGAAUUUUGGGGAAGUCUGGGAUGUUGUUUGCUUAGCUUAUUGAAUUUAAAAUUAGAUGCAUGUAAAAUUGUGUGGACUUUAUGGGAAAUUAAUUUUUAACUGAUGCUUUCUAAUGUUUUAGAUUAUAUAUUAUACAAUUCUUAUUGUUCCUGUUUCAAAUGGUUAUGCACUUGCUUUUUUAAUCUUUCUGAAUGAGUAGA